AAUAACCGAAAUCCCUGUUUUGCAUCAACUUGGACGAAUCGUUCUAGCAGGAAUCACAAAAAACAAACAAAUCUAGGAUCAAAUUCAAUAACAAUUCUCACAAAAUUCAAAUGAUUUUCACUUGUAUAUUGCAUAAAUCAUAAAUCUGUCAGCUAACAAACUGGAAGCUGCGACCACAACUUGACUAGAAACGAACAAAUACCUACGGUAGGGGAAAGAUCGUCUACUACGUUGGAAAUGAAACUGACGAGCAGGCUGCUCUUGCCGACGGCGGAAUCUCCGAUGAGCAGGAUCUUAAACGACAGAUCGUAGUUGCUCUGCCCCUGCCCUGAACUCCCCAUCCGAGCACCUCACUUUCUCUCUCUAGAAAGCAGAACAGUGCAGUUUCCUUCUCUCUCUAAAUAUGUAGACGAAAAGGCAGAUUAAAUAUAACAGGAACUCUCUCUGUCCGUCUCACAGUGUACCUACCUAUCGUGUAUGGAGAACUCAAAAGGCUAGGCUGAUGAGGAGGAGCUUUUAUGCCAUCACUAGUCUUAACUUUCUCUCUCUAAGAAAAGAUGCAAAUGUGAUAGGUGUAUGUAUAGAGAGAGAAAGUGGUGGACAACGUUAUUCUUUUCUUUUUGUGUCGUGUGUCGCGCCUCAGAUUCGAUUCCCGUUUUUGCGCCAAAGGAACGCAACGU